AUUGAACGCUGGCGGCAGGCCUAACACAUGCAAGUCGAACGAGUGGCGGACGGGUGAGUAAUGUCUGGGAAACUGCCCGAUAGAGGGGGAGAACAACUGGAAACGGUAGCUAAUACAGCAUACCAUCGGAUGUGCCCAAAUGGGAGUAGCUAGUAGGGGGGGUAACGGCUCACCUAGGCGACGAUCCCUAGCUGGUCUGAGAGGAUGACCAGCCAAACUGGAACUGAGACACGGUCCAGCCUCCUACGGGAGGCAGCAGUGGGGAAUAUUGCACAAUGGGCGCAAGCCUGAUGCAGCCAUGCCGCGUGUAUGAAGAGGGCCUUCGGGUUGUAAAGUACGUUCAGCGGGGAGGCGUGACUCGCAGAAGAAGCACCGGCUAACUCCGUGCCAGCAGCCGCGGUAAUUC
rnacentral:rRNA from 1 species